rnacentral:lncRNA from 1 species
GGAUUGGAGCACGGUCAAAGCCGUGGCUUAGUAGUGGUGAGGAGGAGGGGGUGAAGCGUAGACAUAAUGGGGUGGUGGUGGUGGAGGAGACUUGUAUUUGUAAACUGGAGGAGGAGGUGGUGGAGACUUGUACUUGUAAGGGUGCUUGGGGGGUGAUGGUGGGGGUGGUGGGGGUGACUUGUACUUGUAGGGGUGCUUGGGUGGUGACGGUGGGGGUGGGGACUUGUACUUGUAAGGAUGCUUGGGGGGUGAUGGUGGUGGUGGUGGAGGUGACUUGUACUUGUAGGGGUGCUUGGGUGGUGACGGUGGGGGUGGGGACUUGUACUUGUAAGGGUGCUUGGGUGGUGACGGUGGUGGUGGUGGGGGGGACUUGUACUUGUAGGGAUGCUUUGGUGGGGAUGGUGGUGGUGGUGGUGGGGACUUGUACUUGUAGGGAUGCUUAGGUGGUGAUGGUGGUGGUGGUGGAGACUUGUAUUUGUAAGGAUGCUUUGGUGGUGAUGGUGGUGGAGGUGGUGGGGACUUGUACUUGUAAGGGUGCUUGGGUGGUGAUGGAGGUGGAGGUGGUGGAGACUUAUACUUGUAAACUGGAGGUGGUGGGGGUGGAGACUUGUACUUGUAAGGGUGCUUGGGUGGUGACGGAGGUGGAGGUGGUGGAGACUUAUACUUGUAAACUGGAGGUGGUGGGGGUGGAGACUUGUACUUGUAAGGGUGCUUGGGUGGUGAUGGUGGGGGUGGGGGUGGCGACUUGUACUUGUAGGGGUGUUUAGGUGGUGAUGGUGGUGGUGGUGGUGGUGGUGGGGACUUGUACUUGUAAGGAUGCUUGGGUGGUGAUGGUGGUGGAGGAGACUUGUACUUGUAAGGAUGCUUGGGUGGUGAUGGUGGUGGAGGUGGUGGAGACUUAUACUUGUAAACAGGAGUUGGUGGGGGAGGAGAUUUGUACUUGUAAGGUUUCUUGUGUGGUGGUGGUGGUGGAGGAGAGUAGAUCGGAGGAGGCGGUGGGGGAGACUUGUAAUGGUAGGGUGGUAGUGGGUUCUUCUUAGGAGGUGGUGGAGGAGAAGAAUAGGUGUAAUCUGCUGAGGUUUCAAAAGGCAAACUGAGAGAAACUGCUAGAACUAAAAGAGUGACAAAGAGAGAGGUCAUUGAUGACCCCAUUUUCCCCAUCUUUACUUCUAAAAAUGGGUUUAAUUUGGUUUAUGUUCGUAGACACCCUCUUCUCUCCCUUUAUAUAGACUCUGUUUUAACCUUAUAAUCUUCAUUUAAAUAUUGGGAAAAAGAAAAGGGCACAUUUUCAUUUCUUGAAAGUAAUCAGAAAUAACUGGAGAACCAUUAAAUUUGGCUUAUAAUAUUGAGGUUGCUAGCUAAGCAGUGAAUACAGUAAUCGUGAUGUGAUGUGUAUAAAAUACUUUUAUGUAUUUGGCUCGUAGUUGACUUUAUACAUAUAACUUUUUACAUGUACGUAUGAAAUUAGACAUGAUAAUAUUAAUAUUAAAUGUGAUACGAUUUAAAAUAAUUAAAUUUAACAUAACAUGAAUACCUCAAUUCUUGUGUAAUUAUUAUGGUCAAUUAUACCCUCCGUUCCUCGGAUUAAACCAAAUUUAAGAUUUUGACACCAAUAAAAAAAUAAAAUUUAAGAUCUAAUUCUUCAAUUUAAUAAGUUCAAAGAAAUAGUCUUGACAUUAAUGUUACUGAAGUUAAAAUUUUUAAAAUUUCAUAUCCAUAUAUAAAAAAAAUUAAAAAUUUUAAUUCCCACUUUUUUUUUGUCAAAAUUACCAUCAACCCAUGCAUGUAAACAAAUUUUGACAAAACAAUACCAACUAUAAUUAUAUACUGGGCGUAACACCCUAGACCCGGUCUAGAUGUCCAGUCCAAGUUAGAGAGUUACACCAUCGAAACUCAAAUACCUCACAAGUAACACAAUAAUACUAAACCAUGCUUCACAUAGUAUUCAUCACAAAGAUUAGUUAAGUGUAUAAUCUUCCAAAGUCAAGCUAUCAUAGUUUACCGAAACUCCUAACGUAAUACUUAAAAGAAAGAUAAAAGCUUGAUCGAGCUCUCGCGACACCGACCCGAUCAAGACUGGGAACCACCUGAAAUCCAACCAAUAGCAAAAUGAGUUGUGAACUCAGUGCGUAAAAGAAGUUUGUUCAACUAAUGCUCACUUAUAAAAUAGUUCUGAAUUCAAAGAUUCGGUUUGAUACAGAAGUAAUUUCAGUUCAAAUUCAGAGCAGAUUAGUUACAUAUAUAUAUAAGCAAUUUCAAUUUCAUAUACGAUACAGAUCAGAUUCAGAUGCAAUGCUCCUACCCCCAUCCACUACACACCGUCUUCAGCUAUCCUAACAUGCUGUUAAGGACAUUUAAUGCCCAACCAAUUCUGCACACCUUAGAGUGUGCGUUUGACACUUUUACAGAGACACAGCUUAGCUGCUAGAUCAAAAUGCGACGAAGCGCCAGAAUCAGAUUUAUACGCAUUAUGGUUUAGCCACUAAUUCAUAACAGAUUACUUCCUUCUUCACAAUACCUCAACCCAUGCAAAUGUAGAGCACAAUACUCGUAUUAUGUAUUUAGUCAUUCUAAUUUAUUUCACAAAUAGAUAAGACAAUUCAACAUCAGAAUAAGUAUCAUAGUAUAUACAUACAACUAUGUUAUCCCCACAUCAGUCUCAGAGUAUCAGACCAUUCUCAUAUAAUCAAAUUCAUUCAUUCAUACAUUGAGGAGGCCAGUAUCAGUGUUAAGCAACAUUCACGGCCUCAAAAACAGGUUUUGGGCUCCAAUAACAUGCCACACGGUCUGGUCACACGCCCAUAUCCUUUGCUCGUGUGGUUCUGAAGCAUAAAUAGUGAGUUACACGGGUCGGACACACGCCCGUAUCCCUACCCGUGUGACUUACACGGCCUGGGCAGACGCCCGUGUCCCUAGCCGUGUGGUAUUGUACCAUAAACACUGAGGUACACGGUCCAGACACACGCCCGUGUCUGUUGCCUGUGUGAACCCUGCACUAAUAUGGCCACACACGGCCUAGACACACGCCCAUGUGCCUUGCCCAGGUGGCCCCAAAUCGAUAAACAGUGAGUUACAUGGCCUUCCACACGGCCUGGACACACGCCUGUGUGCCUGGCCGUGUGGUGUUGACAACCACCAUUUUCGACGAUCGAAACUUGCAAAAAUUAAGGUUUUAGGUACACACCUAGUUUCGCUUUGACAGAAAAACAAUGCGGGGACUACACGAAACCUAAUUAACCACCCAAUAAUCAAUUACACCAUCGUUUUCAAUAUUUUACUAAAAUCAACCUACCGUCAAGAUCAUGUCGAAAGUUUUGACGCAACCCCAACUCAAUUCGCAUACUUACCUCGCACGAAACAGAAGGAAAUCAGGCUAAAACAGCAGAGUAACGUCUCUUGUAAUAUCCUCACCUAAAAAAAGUAACCAAUUGAGUGUUUAAACAGAAUGUUCGAGCAAACGAGCAAAAUCCCGUUUCGACAGAAUAAUGUUAACAAGAUGGAACUCGCAAAAUGAAAGGAGAUAACGACGGAACUUACACAAUAAUCACACAAUCGACCUCACAGGCAUCGAAGAAGUCCCAUUUAACGCAGAAUCAAACAUAGUAAAAAGCAAAAUUAAAAGAAAAGAAGAAAAGGAAAGGAAAGGAAAAGAGAACCAAGAACUUUUGAAAAUGAAAAGAAUACAGACAGAUGCUUAAUCAGUAGCAGGCUCAUUCUUGACAUCAAUUUACCCAGAAGUGCACUUAAAUACAUAACACGUGGAUAAAGGUUGUUUUAAAAUAAAUAAAACUUUUAACGAUGCAACUCGGACUCUAGACCUUAAACACAAUAACGGAACAUAAAGUCACAAAUACAAAAAUUUAAUUACUACAAAUUUUAGCAAUUAAAUUCUUAAAAUUUUGAGGCGUUACACUAGGAACCUAUCAAAUUUUAAAUAAUAUAUUUUAAAUGCAAUUAUAAUAAAUAUUAAAAGUGAAAUUUGACGUUACACCUAAUAAACAUGAUAAAAUACACCAACACAACUUAUAUACAUAAAUUGUCAAAAUCAAAUUUAGAAAACAUAUUCAUAAUUAUCAAAUCUUAAAUCUCUCAAGGAUAACAUAUAAUACUGAUAAAUCCAUUAAAACACACUAAUAUCAGUACAUAUUAACAUCAUAACAAAAUUAACACAUUCAUUAAUCUGAUAAUGUACUUCUCAAUUCAUUACAAAAAUCACCUCAAUAACACGAAUUUUCAUACUCCAAAUAGAGGUAAAAGUAUGAUGGAGAUUUUUAUAGGAGUUAAAUUGCAUUUUAUCCAUUCUACUAAAAAAUGCGCAAAUUAAUCACUGUACGUUAGAUCAAAGAGUAACUGAUUUUUUGGUUAAAAAUUUCAUCCAUUUUUACUGUUAAAAACUUGUCUAUGUACGUCAGCAUGACGUAUACGUGGCACACCAUGUGUCACUAUCUGAUUAUUUUGUCAGGUAAACUAGUUUUUAAUAGUACAAAUAGAUAAAAAUUUUAACAAAAAUAACUAAAUUACUCUUUGACCACUAUAUAAGAACUAGUAUGUAAUAUGAAAAAACCAUUUUACUGCAAAUAGAUAAUUUUAUUGUUAUUAAUAGCUGUCCAUGAAUUUGAGAACAUUUUAUAUGGGUACCAAACUUUUCCAUGAAAUUGCUUGGCUACGGGACCAGGCGGCUUAGACUUUCUUUGCCAGGCUAUAUUCUCCACUCUCUCUUCUUUGUCGUUUACAUUUAAUUUGAAGACUCCAUUUGCUUUUUUUUUUUCCAUUCCCUCUGUCAAAUCCAUCAUCUUCAGUUAAUUAUCAUAUUCAUGAAGAUAAUUAACUAGCUUUUGUCUUAUUUUUUGUUUUAGUUAACGUCUCAAUUAUUGCCAUCAAUUCAAGACAAUUAGGUGAAAAUUCAUUUUAUUAUUUAAAAUAUAUCACGGGAUUAGCUCUUUUGAGAGAAUUUUUUUAAGGAAAUACCGAUUCGAAUCGCCAGGCCCCUUCUAAUGGAGAGCCGUGUACAAUUCAUGGAGAGAGACACUUAACUAAAUGGUAUCUUAUACCUCAAUAGGUGACCUAUAUGUCAUAUGGCAAGGGUUCAAACCCCACUAAUGGCGAGGCACUCGCGUUGCAUCUUGGUGGGUGGUCAUACAUUCACAUACAGUUGAGAUGCUCUCUUUCGUGAACCGUACACGGCUCUAUGCAAAAAAGUUGGGACUAUACCUUCCAUUGUUGAUAGUCCAAAUUGAUGUCUUAAAGAAAGACACUUCGAAGAUUUCUCUUAAAAACCUGAAUCAAUCAUCAACAAAAACUACUUAAGAAAAUAUUAUAAUAUUACAUUAAAAUAGAAAUAAACUUUAUUAAUUAAAUGAUAGCCUAAACCAAAAUGGGUUCAAAGUGUAGAAAUCAUGAAUAAUUUAAUCACCGGCAAGGGAUACGAGUUAGUUCUUCUAACAAACCACAACUUCAUUUAAUUAAUUUUAGAUAAAAAUAAUUUGAGAUUUUAAUAAUUGAUCCAAUUGCUUAAAGAGACAUUGGUGAUGUGCACAUGAUAUAGAAGCUUAAGUAGAAAAAGAAAACAAGAGUUUAAGUAGAUUGUCAAAAUAUCUUUCUCAAAUAAAUAGAGUUUUAAUAGAAACAAUGAUUAUCAAAAAAUAUAUAAAUUACUGUUUUUUUCCUCACAAGAGGAAAAAAGGAAGUGCUGGUGUUUUUAAAGCAAAUAGAGUGAUCUGGAUGGAAUCUUUUGCUUAAAUCACUUUGAUUAAUUGCUUUACUCACUUUGACGUUUUUAAACUAUUUUUAGCAAAUAAAAAUAAAGCAAUACAUCUAAUCAAAUAUAUAUACUGAAUUUUACAAAUAUUAAAUUUAUAUUAGAAAAUUAUUUUGUGUAUUAAUAAAAAUUAAGUAUUGAAAAUUAAUUUUAUUGUUUGAUAAAAUUAAAUUUUUUUUUAAAUUAUUGAUUUUUUAAAUUUAAUCCUAUUGAUAUAAUAUUUUAUUAUGUUUUGUAUAGUUUUUUUAUACAAUGCCUAGAAACUACCCAUAAUCCUUCCCUAAUUCUUAAAUAGGAGAAUAAACUUUAACAAACUUGAACGUACGACAUCCUACACUGACAACAAUACCAAUGUCAACAAGCUAAGAUUUAAUAGGCAUGUUUUGUUUAAUUUUGAAUAAAAGUUAAAUAUACUAAUUUGAAUAUCUCAUCCUUUGACAAAAAAAAAUUCCAAUAUAGUGGUUUAAAGAAAAUCAACUUAAUAAAAUUACGAAAUCCAUUUUUUAUGACAAUUUUGUCCUGAGUGAAAAAACUAAUGGAAUUGUCAAGCAAAUAUAACAAUUUAAGUCGGUGUUUAGAAGAGCUGUGGGUGAGCUUCACUCACCUCCAUUAGUCGCUGUCAUUUUCUUCACACAUCGGCGUGUGACGCUCACUCUGACGAUUUUUCUCAUUUCGCCUCCACCAUUGACUUCAGAGCUAUAUUCCAACCUUUCCCUUUGAGAAUUUCUUGGUUUGGUGAGGUUGAAAUUUUUGGGAUUUUUUUCUAUUUCUUAGGUUUUAUACUAUUGGUUGAUGUAUUUUUUCGAUUAUUUUGUUUUCAUUUUCUUAAAAGUGACAACAAUAGAUAAAAAAGGGUGAUCGGUUUCGAUAACCUAUCUUGGCAAAUUAGUCCCAUCAAACUUGAUGAAAAUAACUAUCUUGCUUAGUAUUGAUCAUGUUUGUUGUUCAUCAAGGCUAGAGCCCUUCAAGGCUAUAUUAUAGGUGAUAAUAAGAAGCCUACUAUUGAUGAAUUUACAUUCAAUUCAUGGGAUUCAAAAAGCUCACAUAUCAUGUCACACAUCUCUAAAACGUAUUUAUUACUUGACAUCGUGACAAAAAUAUAGUGCAGUUGCUCUCACUUAUUCACAAGUGGAAAAUGACACUAAAAUAUUUGAGAUACGAAAUAAGAUCUAAUACCAAGCAAUGUGAGAUGUCAAUUUCUUAGUAUCAUUCUAGCCUUAGUAGGCUAUGGUAGGGGUUGGAUUAAUAUCAAGACUUUCAAGCAGACUGUACUGGAGAUGUUAAGUUUCAAAAACUUGUUGAAAAGGAAUGAAUCUAUGAUUUUUUUAGCUAGACUCAACCAUGAGUAUGAUCAUAUCCGAGUUCAAGUUCUUGGAAAAACUCAUUUUCUGUAUCUCCAAGAAUCUUAUUCCUAUGUCCAACAAGAAGAAAGUAGGAGUGUUAUGCUCUAUAAAACACCUAUAGAGAAAGCAGGUUUGAUUGCUAAUGGUUCCUAAUAGCAAAAGAAAAAAUACAAUUUUGAUAAGAAUCAUCUGGUGUGUGAUCAUUGUGGGAAUACUCAGCAUACUAAAUAGACAUGUUGGAAACUACAUGGUCUACCCAUCAAAGGUCGAGAAAAAAAACAAAUCAAGCCAACAUGGAACCAAGUAAAUUUCUCUGAAGUUGUGAAAACAUCCAAAGAGAUGGCUCCUAGUGAGGCAUUCUCAUCUGAUGAAAUUAAGCACCUUAGACACCUCUUGCCACAACUUGAGACUCCUUCUAAUAUGUCCAAUUUUUUGAAGUCCAGUAAUGCUUAUAAUGCUCACAAUAAUGAAGUAAGGAGGUUUAUUAAUGAAUUGAGACUCGCCAACCAUAAUGAAGUUGGAAGAGGACGUCAUCUUGUGUGGUUUUAAUAGAUGGAAUUUGAGCUACCUUAAGGAUUUUCUCUUGGUUGUUAAAUCAUCUUUUAGAGACUAGCUUUGAUAUCAAUUGUUAGCUUGAUUAAUCAAACCAAAAUUGCAAAGAAGGGGGUGAAUUGGCCUUUAAAAAUUUUGGUAAAAGCAAAGAAAUAAUAUGAAACAAUGAACACAAAGAUUUAGAGUGGUUCGGCUCCAAUUGCCUACUCCACUACCUUAGUUUUCUACAACUAAAAAUUUUCUCAAAUUCACUAAUUUGUUCAACCUUUGAGAAUAAGGUUUAACCUUACAACCCUCUUAAGAUCUCUAUCCCAAAUCUUAAGAUAAACCUUCUCAAAUAAUUGCAAAAAAGCAAAUAAAUAAAUAAUCCAAACAAGAUCGAAAUGUUUUUCAAUUAAGCACAAGUAGACAAGAAUACACUUAAGCAAAAGAAAGCCAAUAAGAGCUCACAGGUGUGUACAAGAGAAUUAUGGAAGUAUUAAGUACAAAGGUUGUUUGAUUGAUAAUUUUUUUUCCAAUUAAGCACAAAUAGACAAGAACACACUUGGGCAAAAGAAAGACGAUAAGAGCUCAUAAGUGUGUACAAGAGAAUUAUGGAAGUAUUGAGUACAAAGGUUGUUUCAUUGAUAAUUUUUGCUUCAAUAUGCUUUCUUGUUGUUGUAGGAUCUUUAAAAGUUAGUAUUUAUAUCCUCUAAUUGAUUUCCAACAGUUGAGGUUGUUGUAGUAGUUAAUAGAGUCGUUGGGGAUGUGAAAACUAGAGUAUUUAACACACCUACAAUAGCAAGUAUCAAUACCAAACAAAAAGGUAUCGAUAUUUUUUUUGGUAAUAAAUGCUAAAUUCAGUAACCGUUGGAAUUUACAUAUCGAUACCAUACCAAAUUUAUUGAUACCUUAUAAAAAGAUAUUCAUACUGGAUCGAUACUUAGUUGCUUUUGUGAGAAACAAAAUGCCAAUUUAGUAUCGUUUCUUUCAAAGGGUAUCGAUAUUUGGCCAAAAAGGUAUCGCUACAUUUUGGCCUAGAGUAAUUCUGACUUGUUUGAAAGAUAUUUUGACUUGAUAAAAUGAUAAAAGACCUUUUUACUUAGUUAAAAUCAUUUUAACUAGAUUUGAAAGUUGUUUCAAAAAAAUUUCUAAGAGUUCAAAAAGAUAUUUAAAAUUUUAUCUUUUAGACUUUAAUAUAAAAAUUAUUCUAUAAAUUUUUUAUUCAAUUUUAACUUUUAUUCGAAAAUAUUUUCAUUUGUUAUAUCAAAACAUAUUUUUAAAUAAAGCUUAAUUUAACAAAUAACAAUAUCACAGAGUUGUGUGCUUAGCCCUACCGGUGUCAUCUAUUUAUAAGAAGAAGAAGUAAAACCUUUUUUGAAUUGUAGAAGUUUAUUUCAAUUAGAAAAAAGAACUCCUAGUCUAACUAGAAGUAUAGGGGGUGACGACCAUAGUUAAUAAUACUUGGGUUUGUCGUCCCUCCCUUUAACAUGAGAGGCUUUUGGACCUCUCCUACAUCGAGUCCAAUUACAAGUACUUCUUAGACUUUUAACCCAAUACUUUAUAAUUCAAUCCAACCCAAUUUUUUUUCUAUUUCCCAAAAUAAACAUCUCAAUUUAUUUCCAAUUAAAUAAUAUUCUCAACCCAAUUCUAAUUCCGUUAAAAUCAUGACGACUUUACUGUAUAAGAAUCUAUAAGAAAAUAUAUUUAAUAUUUCUACAUUCAACGAGUUUAUUAUGACCAAAUGGUUUAUUUCUAUUUUCGAACUUCAUUUAAUUUGAAAACCAUAAAUUUCAAGUCUUUUUCAUUUUUCAUUUUGAAUAAAACCAUAUUCAUUUUCAAAUGUUUUCGAUUUCUCCAUUUUCACCAUUUCUAUCCAUUUCUAUUCAUUUAAUUGGCAUAGUGCCUAAAAUAGCCCCUAACGUUUGACUAUUUGGUCACUUUUGCCUUUUAUGUUUUUUCUUAGAGCACUUUAACCCUUAACACUUUUUUGGUCAAAUUGAUCUAUUUUUAACAGACAUACUGACGUGGCCGUUAGUUGAUUAAUGAUCAACAUUAACCGCUGAUGUGGCGGUCCAAAUGUAAUUAAAUGCUGAUGCGACACUAUUUUGUCUUAUAUGCCACAUCAGCAAAUGAUUUUAAAAUUAUUAAAAUUAUUUUAAAAUCAUCAUCAUCAUCACCGCUUCUUCUCCGUGUCCGCUUCUUUAUUGUCGGUUUUCUGGGUUCGAUUAAUGAAUAGAUCUAGGGGGCAACUUAGGUUAAAAAUACUUAUUAAAGCUUAAUUUUACUGUUGUAUAUAUAUUUUUCUUGAAUUGCUUUUGUGUCAAUUACUGUUUCGUGUUAUAUUUUCCCACCUGCAUUUGUUGUGUUUUUUUUAAUCUCUACCAAAUUCCAAACCUUUAAAAUUUGAAGCUCUAAGUUGAGUUCCAAAAAUGCUCACGUUUAGAUGCUAGAAGCAUAUCUAGAAAAAGAAAAAAGAAAAAAAAAUUAGAUUUUGAACUUUAAACUAUGGUGUCGGUAACAAACCCUAGAACCCAAAAUGAAAGCAAGAAAGGAAAGGAGAUCUAACCUUGAAAUUAUGAAAUCGGGCCUUGUGAGUAGCAUAUUUAAAGGUUGUGAACAUGGUGAGUUGAGAAAUUUCGAUCAACGAGUUAAGGGAAAAAAGGGAGCGAAGGAAAACGCGGACGGGGCUUAACAGAUUUAGCCUUGUAAGCAUAAAUUUGUAAGUUUCCUUUUAAGUGGCAUUUAUAGCUACUUACUUGCUUAGUUGCGUGGGCAUCAGCGUUUUGGUAAUGAAAUUUUGAAGUUAUAUUGACGAUUGUCUUAAAAGAUUAGAUGGGGAAAUAUUGUUCCAUCCAGAAGCAAUGGUAAAAAGUGGUGAGCUUGAGGAUAGACAUUGAACUAGUUGUGAGCAAUGGUGUUAAAAUUAUCAGACAGUUAGGUAGUUGAUGAAGCAGCAGCAAAGCUACAAAUUUGAAUGAUUGGAGAUGGAGAAGUAUGCAAUUUAAAGGAUACAUUUUGGGCCUAGAAAGAAAAAAUGAAGAAAAAGAAAUGGUGAUGAUGAUGAUGGUUUUAAAAUAAUUUUAAUAAUUUUAAAAUCAUUUCCUAACGUGACAUAUAAGACAAAAUAGUGUCAUGUCAGCAUUUAAUUGCAUUUGGACCGCCACGUUAGCGGUUAAUGUUGACUGUUAGUUAACUAAUGACCAUGUCAAUAUGUCAUUUAAAAAUAGAUUAAUUUGACUAAAAAAACACAUUAGGUGUUAACGUGCUCCAAAAAACCAUAAAAGGCAAAAAUGACCAAACAAUUAAACGUUAAAGGCUAUUUUUGGCAUUAUGCCCAUUUAAUUCAACAUGCAAUUCAUUUCUGGUUUCAACGAGCUAGCGGAGGGACCGAUUGAACAUAUGCAAUUGAGGCUCAAAUGAUUUAUAAUUAAGGUCCAACUUUUUGACUAUUAAUGAUAAACUCAUUUAGUCGCGAAGUCAUUCCACUAUAGUAUCGUGAUUGAGUUCACCCCAACGGCAUACUACGAAAGCAACUUGAUCAGUGCUCGUCCAAUGACUUUAUCAUAAGUGUGUUACCCUCAUAGGUUAUCCUUAAUCUCUUUGGGAUAAUAUUCGUUCUCCCAAUAUGAUCCUAUUUUAUCUCAUGAUAACCAUUACAUUUUCCUUCAUGAAAAGUCAAUUACUAUCAAAUAGUAAUCAAGUCAUUCCUCAUAAAGACGAACGAUUCAUGGCCACGUUUACUUUUCAUCAACCAUGUAAUGCCAAUGAGAGGAUACCAUUUACCCAUGUCUCAGGUUAUGAAUUUCACUAUUGUGAAUGGCGCUACAUACUACAAAACUCAUUUAAUAAGUACAAUAAUUGAAAAAAAAUACCAAAACUAAUAAGUAAAACUCAUUUAAUUUUAAAGUAAAGUUUAAGGACUAAUCAUAAAUUUAGUAAAACCUUUUUGUAAAAUUGAGAGUGAAAUUAUGGAAUUAACCAUAUAAGAUUUAAUCAUGCAAAUUUUUAAGUCAUUUCAUAGCAUUUAAGGACUCCAAUUGAAAAGAUAACAAAACAUGCUCAAAACCUACAUAUGACACAUUGACACCUAUCCACACAUACUAUUUUGUGUUUUCAUGCUAAUUUUCAUAUUCUAACAUAUCAUAUAACAUAUAUAGAUCAUACAAAUCAUACUCAAUUACACUAAAACAUACUUUAACACUCUAACUAGUUAGCUAUACUAGCAUGCAAUCCUAAAGUCACAACUCAUAUUACUUAACAUCUCAAUUUUGCAUCUCAUACAUUUCUAAGUGUAUUAUAGGUUCAUACCUUACCUAUUUGGUCAUUUUAAGCUUGUCUCAAUGAUCAGCAAGUCAUUCAAGCAUUUAUAACAAUAAUUCAUUAAGCACAUGCAUAUCAUUCAUCAUGCAACAAAAAUUUAACAAUCAUGCAUUACCUAUUUGGAAUGUAACAUUCCAAGAGAUAAUGAUCUUAUGUUCAAACUCUACUAAAUGUGAUUUAUAAAAUUUUAAAAUUUCUAAUAUUCUUUAAAAAUUUUAUUAAAUUUUAGUAUUUUCAUUUUUUGUAACUUUUUCUUUUUAAUUAUUUUAAUAAGGUUUGUAAUUUUUAAAAUAUUUUUAAUUUUUAAUUUUUAUAAUUUUACUAAAUUUAUUUUUUCUAUUUGUUAAUAGUUUUGCAACUUUUUAAUUAAUUUUUAUAAUUUUAUAAUUUUUAAUAUUUUUUUAAUAAUUUUUUGUAUGUAUUUUUAAGGUUUUUCGGACGACGACGACAUAGUAACAUCAUUGUAUGACACAUGACAGCAUAUGUUUGGUUGACCAAUUUUUUUAAUGUCCAAAGGGCUGAAUCAAGAAAACAUGAUAAUGUUAAGGACUAAACUGAGAACAUCUGAUAAUAUUAAGGAUUAAAGUGUUGAUUAAGCAUUUUGAAUUUGGAAGAAACUUAAAAGCUUCACGCAGCACGCUACAUCAACGACUGAGUUUUGAGUUUGUUCAUAUAUACACAUUUUAUUAUUUAUAAUUAAAAAAUUUCAGUUCUCACGUGCGAUUGACAUUCUGUACCGGUUUCCUAAUUGCUCCCGUACGGAUGUAUGAGGAGUUGGUGAAGACUAGGACUUGCAAUUUAUCUGCUUUAGACUGCUUCCCUAGCACUUCUUGUUUACUUUUUAUUAUUGUUAUCUAGAAACAACUAGAUUUAACUUAAUUCUUUGGUAACAAUUUUACUUUUCAUCUCUGUUGAAAAUAUGAGUACGUAAAAGAGAUGUGAGCAUGGAAAUUAUACUUUGAGCUCAUAUUUAUAGCAUAACAGGGUCGGAGUUGAAGGAGGGAAUGAGUCAAGAAAGGAUCCAAAUUCCAGUUUCAUGAAUUUGACAGCUAACGCAGUAAUUGUUUACUGUGGUUUGAUUUUGGUCCCAAAGAGAAAGCCAUACUAGAUCUGAUCACACGAUUAGCCUAUUUAAUCUUAAUCGAAUAAAUUUAGUCUAUGCUUUGGCACAGUUUUCAACAACUACAGGGGAUUAUUUCUUAUGUGUCAAUUUUGGCUUUCUUUCUUCAAAAGAUACCGAUAAUUGAAAAAACCAACACAACUUCCUAUUAAUUUUCUUCUUUAUUUUUCCUUAGUUGUCAAUCUUGGCUUGUUAUUAAAAGCUGCAGUAAAUAUAAUGGACCAAUUAUGUACAGCUUAAAUUAACGACUUGCUGACAAUAAAAAGUGUGUUAUACCCGAAACAAAACAAACUUUAUUAAAUUAGUUUUACGCUUUUAAAUAUUUUAAUAAUCAAACUUUCAUUUUUUAUAUUUCACUUAUAUAAAUCAUAAUUUUAUUGUUUCAAUAAAUAUUAAUAUAUAAUAUUUCAGAUCAAUAUAAUAGAGAUAUCGGAUUUGUUCAAAUUUUUACACCUAUGAUAAGUACAUUUAUAUCAAUAAUUUCAAUUGUUGAGUAGUUAAAAUAUUAAUUAUAUAAAAAGAUACGAAACUAUUUUAAUUUUACAUUAGUAUAAAUGGAUCUCACCCUGCUAACAUGUUUUAAUUUAAUGGUAAUUUUUAAGUUUUCAAGAAUUUUGAAAUUUUAUAUUCAAUUCUGACUAUUUCAUUCUAAAUUCUUUGUGGUUUAUAAAUCUAAUUUUUAUAUAUAGAUCAAAUAUAUUUCAGUUAUAAUAUUUAAUUUUAGUUGUAGUUAUUUGAAUAUAUUACUUCGAUUGCAAUUACAAUCUCUAAAACAUUAUAAUGGUAGAAAAAAAUCAUCUUAAAUAUUUAUAUUAUUAAUAGGAUAAAUUUUACAAAUGGUCACUUAAUCAUGUUCACAUUCCUGUUUUGAUCAUCCAAUUUUAAAAAAUUUCAAUUUAGGCACUAUCAUUUGAAUUCGUUCCUAUUUUGAUCAUCCACAUUUAAAUUUAUAAUGGAAAGCCUUUUUUCUAACUAGUAUAAUAAUACAUUUCAUCCACAAUACUUACAUAUUAUACCAAUUCAAUCCUAAUUCUAAAUAAUUCAAUAAAUUUAACCUGUCACAUUUACAAAUUCUAUCAAUUUGAUCCUCAUUUAUUGAAUUAUUUAGAAUUAGGAUCAUGUUAAAGUAAUUAAUAAGCAGAUAGUUAGUUAGCUGGUUAGCUAACUGUUGUAAGUUUCAGUUGAAAGAAGUUAAUGUGUUUCUAUAAAUAAGCAAAUAGAUGAUUGUACUUCCAAGGUUCUUGAUGAAUAAAAGAUUAAUUUAGUACAGAUACAGCUGUUAUGAUGAUAUCUUAACAUGGUAUCAGAAGUUGUUGUGUUGAACGUGUUUCUUGUAUUUUCUUUUUGUUUCUUUCAUGGAUUUCUCCUCCAGUCCUUCUGCUGUGCAAUCUGCUUUUCCUGCCAUGAAUACAAACUUCUCUGAUAGUCUUGCUGAUUGUCAUUUUCUUUCCACUAAGAAGAUCAGUGUGUUAUUGGAUGAUAAUAACUACUUACUAUGGCGUCAAUAGGUUAUUCUGGCGCUCAAAACUUUCAGACUACAACAUUUUCUUGAUCCUGCCACAUCACCUCCGCCUCAACGGAUUCUGGACGAUAAUGGUGUUCUUCAGGAGAACCCGGAGUUUUCUCGAUUUGAGCAGCAAAACUGUGCUCUAGCCUCUUGGCUACUAUCCUCUGUAAGUACAAGUGUUUUACUGCAUCUUAUUGGUCUAGAGUCCUGCUCUCAGAUUUGAAUGCUAUUGUUGAUCUUUUUGGGAGCAAGACUACUUCUCGUUUAAUGUCUUAUAGACAGACGUUACAUUCUCAACGCAAAGGUGACUUAUCUAUGAAGGAUUUCCUACUAAAGAUUAAGAGUUGUUGUGAGAAUCUUGCUAAUUGUGGAGAGAUCAUCAGUGAGCGUGAACAUGUCACUGCCAUUCUAAAUAGUUUGCCGUCUAAGUAUGAGUCGGCCAUCACUGUUGUCACUGCAAGUCAAGUUCCGUAUACUGUUCGAGGGGUGUCUACUAUUCUUCUUGAUGCUGAAACCAAACAGCAGGUUAUAGUCAAUGAAGAUCCUAGUUCAGCAAAUCUUGUGUCUAGUCAAGAGACAAGUUCUAUGGAUACAACUACUUCAGCCCCUACAUAUCGCCCUUCCUCAACAAAUUGAGGAAGAGGGCGUGGUCGCUCUUACGGCUCUCGGAUGCAGUGUCAACUAUGCGGGAAAAUGGAUCACCUUGUGGAUCGGUGCUAUCAUCGAUUUGAUGCGUCAUAUAAGAGUGUUGGCUAUAAACCACCUGGGGCUCCGCAAGCAAAUUUGAGUAUGGUUAGGUCUGCUUGUCCGAUGACACUUUGGAUGCCAAUUCUGCUUGCUGUCAAUCCAAAUCCUCAAUCAGGUUGGUACAAUUCCCCUGGUUAAUCUCCUAAUUGGACUAACCCAUUUGUUCACAAUUUCCCACAGUAUGGACCCAUGUCUUCUUCGACAUCUCCCACAGUUUCUCAGGCUCAGAUCCAUGCAGCGACUCCUGCAACAGUAGCUGAUAAUGCUUGGUAUCCAGACUCUGGUGCCACUCACCAUCUGACAAAUUCAAGCUCAUCUAUAGGUGAACAACAAUCUUGUACCGGCCCAGGUAAGGUGUAUGUGGGUAACGGUUCUACACUUUCUGUUAUGUCCAUGGGUCAAUUGUCACUGCUCACUCGGUCCCGAUUCUUACACAUGAAGUUAUUAUUGUAUGUACCUGGGAUAACUAAAAAUCUUCUUUCUGCAUCAAAGUUUACAAAAGAUAAUGCAGUAAUGUUUGAGUUCUAUCCUACACAGUGCCAAGUUCGUGAUUUAAAAGCUAGAAAGGUGCUUCUCUAUGGCUCUAUACACGAUGGGUUAUACAAGUUACAUCUUUCCAAUGCUGGCUUAACGGUGUUACCUGCUCAAUCUGCUCAGUGUUUUUCUGCUCAUUCUAUGGUUUCACUUGAUGUUUGGCAUUACAGAUUAGGACAUCCGUGUAAUGUUCUACUUAAAAGGGCUCUGUCUAAAUAUAAUAUACACUUUGAUAUGAAUAAACAAGUUGCUUGUUGUCAUGCAUGCCAUCUAGGGAAAGAACGUAAACAACCAUUUCCUCAGUCUGUCUCUGAAUACUCCGCUCCUUUACAACUUGUAGCUGCUGAUGUCUGGGGACCUACUCCAGUAGUAUCAAAUAGUUUUCGCUACUAUGUGGGGUUUACGGAUACAUAUUCACGAUACACAUAGGUAUAUUUUCUACGAAAAAAGUCAGAUGUUCUUGGUGUGUUCUCAGUGUUUCAUAAACAAGUAGAAAGGAUUUUGGGUUGCAAGCUUAAAACGCUGCAAACUGAUAGAGGAGGCGAGUUUCAAGCCUUGAAAGGAUAUUUGACACAACAUGGAAUUGUGCAACGUGUCACCUGUCCGUACACGUCACAGCAGAAUGGCUUGGUCGAACGUAAACAUAGGCAAAUCGUGGAAGUCAGUCUUUCUAUGCUGGCGCAUGUAAGGAUGCCAAUUAAUUACUGGAAUGAUGCCUUCAGCAGUGCUAUUUUUUUGGUUAAUAGGCUACCUUCCUCACCUAUAAGGGUGUCUCCGUAUGAAAAGUUGUUUCGAGAAUGUCCUCCUUACUCGUUUUUGCGGGUGUUUGGGUGUUUAUGCUUCCCUAACUUACGUCCUUACAAUACGUCCAAGUUACAGUUUCGAUCCACUCUGUGUACGUUUUUAGGAUACUCUCCGACUCAUAAAGGGUAUUAGUGUCCGGCAGCAGAUGGAAAAGUUUACAUUUCUCGCCAUGUUACGUUUUAUGAAGAUGUUUUUCCGUUUAAAAAUCUCAGCUCCAGGCCAUCACCUCCUUCACCUGACAUAGCACAGUCGAGUUCUAGACUGCUUGUUAUGCAACCUGGUUGUUCGCCCAUGGGUAGUACAGGUCACCACUAACAUGCUGUCCCGACUAGUGCUAGUAACACUCUAGCUCAAGGUUCUUCUAUUAGCUCAAGGUUCUCUUCAUAUGUACCCAGUAACGCUACAGCUCAGAGUUCUUCUGCUAGCUUGAGGCAAUGCACGACGCGCGAUAGGACUGCUACCACCCCUUCCGGAUUGGUUGUUCCAGCUAACUCACAUGCCAUGGUUACAAGUAGUAAAGCUGGUAUCUUCAAGCCUAAGGUUUACUUGAGUAGUACGGAUGCUGCAACAACCGAUGUUUCUUCUGACAUUCAUGAACUAUGCAACAGACUUGUUGGCAAACGACGGUUCAUGCUGAGUUACAAGCUCUUCAGCAGAAUAAGACAUGGGAACUGUGUUCUCUACCAGCUAACAGACAAGUUAUUGGGUGCAAGUGGCUAUUGAAAGUAAAAAGGAAGGCUGAUGGUACUGUGGAUAGAUACAAAGCGCGCUUGGUGGCGAAGAGAUUUUCACAACAUGUUGGCUUUAAUUUUCAGGAUACUUUUAGUCUUGUAGUUAAAGCAGUGACUAUACGAAUUGUGCUAGCUAUUACUGUUAUGAAAGGCUGGCCCAUUAGACAGGUAGACAUCAACAAUGCGUUCCUUAAUGGAGAACUGAUAGAAGAAAUCUAUAUGGCACAACCACUUGGUUUUGAAGUUAUAGGUCAAAAUAGAUAGCAGCUUGUGUGUCGUCUGGCUAAAGCUCUUUAUGGGCUAAAGCAAGCCCCCCGAGCUUGGUUUCAAACACUAAAGGAGUAUCUUGUACAUAAGCUUGGCUUUCAUGCUUCAAAAGCCGAUCCCUCAUUGUUUAUUCGCGAUUCUGAUGGUCAACUAUUACUUCUCAUGGUGUAUGUGGAUGACAUAGUUGUCACAGGUAACUCAGUUGCUACCAUUAACACAGUUGUCAAGGUACUUCAUGACAAGUUUUCCCUUAAAGACAUGAGACAACUGAAUUUUUUCUUGGGCAUUGAAGUUCGGCAUACAUCUCAGGGGUUGUUCCUAAAUCAAAAGAAGUACAUUGGAGAAAUACUGCACAAAACAUACAUGACAGGUGAUGUAUCCACACCCACACCUAUGUUGAGCUCCUCAAAGCUAGUAGCCUCAGACGAUUCUUUAGAGUUUACUGAUGGUUCCCUAUAUCAGAGUACAAUAGGUAUGCUUCAAUACCUGUGCAUUACAUGACCUGAAUUGGCAUUUUGUGUGAACAAACUAAGCCAAUAUAUGAAUUCUCCUAGUGAUGAGCAUUGGAAAGUAGUAAAACGGGUCUUAAGAUAUCUUGUUGGGAUUAUGGAUCAUGGUCUAUUUUUCUCAAAGGGUCAGUUUAAACUGGAAUGUUAUUCUGAUGCUGACUGGGCAGCCUUAGUUGAAGAUAGAUGUUCUACAACAGGAUAUGUCAUUUUUCUCGGGUCGAAUCCAGUUGCAUGGUCCUCUAAGAAGCAGGCUGUGGUCUCAAGGUCAUCUUCUGAAGCCGAGUAUCGUAGUCUAGCUAAUUGUGUUGCUGAAUUACUAUGGGUAAAACAACUGCUGGAUGAAAUUGGACUGUCAGUUUGCCAAACACUAGUCAUCUGGUGUGAUAAUACCUCUACAGUAUCCAUGGCUGCAAACCCGACUCAUCACGCUCGUAUGAAACAUGUUGAAAUUGAUCACCACUUUAUUCGGGAAAAGGUGAUGGCAGGGGUUUUGCAUGUUAAUUUCGUUCCUUCCACGAGGCAAAUUGCAGAUGUUCUUACCAAACCCAUACCCCCCACUCAAUUCAUUGAUUUUCGACAGAAGCUUCAAGUUUGUUCAAAAUGAUAGCUGUUGUCAGGGUUUAGUAAAACCGGGAGAAUGUUAAAGUAAUUAAUAAGCAGUUAGUUAGCUGGUUAGCUAACUGUUGUAAGUUUCAGUUGAAAGAAUUUAAUGUGUUAGUUAAUGUGUUUCUAUAAAUAAGCAAAUAGAUGAUUGUACUUCCAAGGUUCUUGAUGAAUAAAAGAUUAAUUCAGUACAGAUAUAGCUGUUAUGAUGAUAUCUUAACAAAAUUGAUAGAAUAUGUGUUAUUUUACCAUUUAGAAAAUGGCUUCCCGUUAUUAAUUUAACGAUGGAUGACCAAAAUAAGAACAAAUCUAAACGUUAAUGCUUAAAUUAAAAAAAUUAAAGUUGAGUGACCAAAAUAAAAACACAAACAUAAUUGGGUGGCUAUUUGUAGAAUUUACCCUUAUUAAUAAUAAAAGAGUUGAGGUUCAAUUAAGGUCGAGGAAAUAAAAUUUCAUACCCUAGGCUUGAUUUGUAUUUUAAAUGGAUCUUAUUUUUGGUCAUUGAAUAAUGUAAUAUUUUUUAAUCCAGCCGCCCAUGUUUGUUCCUUUCUUUUGGGCAGUAAAUCCUUAGUGCUUCCAUCCUGGGGUAAUGUUGAAGAAUUCGACUGUAAAAAUCAUUCCUAUUUCUGGAAAACCAAAAACUGUAAAAUUGUUCUAACUUCGACUUUUUUACAAAGGAUAAAAAUAGGGAGUUGUCUAAAUAUUAAACUCGAGAUUGAUAUUAAUGAAAGAUUUAAACAUUAUUUUUUAUCACUCUAUUUAUGAUUCAAUCAUCGGUAAUAGUAUUAUAAAGACUUUUGUAAUAAGAGUUAGAUUGUAUUUUGCCCACUGUAUUACAAAAAGGGUAAAUUAAUUCAUGUACUUUAAACCAAAGAGCAUAUUGAUCAUUCUGUUAAAAAUUUCAUCUAUUUUCUACUAUUAAAAAUUGGUUUAUGUACAUCAACAUAACGUAUACGUGGCACGUCACAUGUUACUGACUGGUAAUUUCAUUAGACACGCUAGUUUUUAACAGUACAAAUAGAUGAUUUUUUUAAUAGAAAAGAUUAAAUUACUUAUUGAUCUAAUGUACAUGGACCAAUUUGUCUAUUUUUAAAGUAUAAAAAAUAAAAUGCAAUCUAACUCUUAUUAUAAAAACCUAUAUGAUGCUUUUACCAUCAAUCAACACAUCUUAGAUCUUAAUUUUAUGGGAACAAAUAAAAUAAUGUGAACUAGGAUAAUUAAAAAUAAAAAAUCUGGUGCCAAUUGGGGUUGCGUUUUUUUUAUCUAUUAUUUUGUAAUUAGAUCAAACGUUUGGUUUAAUUUUCGAAUACAUAAAUGCAUAUUUAAACCACCGACAGAGAAACGAUGGUAAACUGUUGUUAUCAAUUUUUUUGUAAGUGUUUGACUAAUUAAACUGUUGCUAUCGGACGGCUGUCAUGGAAUCCAAUUGUUUUUAUUGAAAUCUUUUAACGUGGGGAUAAAGGAAUAAAUAUAAAUUAUCUCCAUUGAUAAUUAUGAAAAUGAUUCCAACUAUUCUGUACCGUGAAGGUAUUUUCAACCCUACAGCUUUUGAUAACGUUAUAUUUGUCAUUUUAUGUCACCAAAAUGUUAUCAAACAAUUACCCAAAGCCGGAGUAACAUUUUUUAAUAGGUUUAUAUUUUAUAAUUCAGUUUAAUUUUUUAUUUAAAUUCAGUGUUAAUAAUAUAUAAAUAUUAUUUUAAGCAAAUAUUCCGCUCGAAAUUCGAAUUCAACUUUUAAGAAACCUCUCUCUCUCUUUCUUGCUCAUCGGAAACGAUACACAUUGAGAAUUUCCAUGUUUAUUAUUUUGUUAUUCAAUAUUGAUUUAUAGUGCGUACAAAUUUGAGGUAAAAGAAUAUUUAUUAUCUAAAUUCAUUUUGAUUUUUUAUGGUUAACAAAAUUCAAGUUAUUAUAUAUUCAAACUGAAUAACAAUUUAUAUAUUUAAAAUUAUUAUUUAAAUAUACAAUUUUAUUUUUUGAAAAUAAUUUAAUAAAUUUUUGUAACACCCCAAAAUAUAUAAGGUUAGAAAUUUAAUUAAUCACCAAAAAAAUAGUUUAGUUUUGAUGGUUACAUAGUUAGAAAAGUUUUUAAGUCCCCUCUUCCCAGGAACAAAAUCAAUCUAGUAUAGACAUUAAAUGUGGUAGAAAUAUUGAAAGCAUGGAUAGUAGCCUAAUGACUAAACUCUCUUUUUAUCCAUUACGUCCCUAGUUCCAGUCACACCACUAUCCCUUCUCAUUUCUUUUUUGGACGGCAAGAAAGAAAAUUUUCCUAAUUAGCCCUUUAAAAUGUGAAAACCCUAACUAUUUAAUCAUCUUUCCAAAUCAAAAUAAAACUCUAGUUUUCCUUUUCCAACUGAACAAGGGUUUCAUUUUUUUUUCCCUAUUUCUUCCCCUAUUCUUUUUCAUCUUCCCCCUUCAAUUAUUUUCUUUACAUUGAUGGAAAUUUUAUUUUGAUCCUAAGUUUGAAAUCGAGCCCCAUUCAAUCAAUUUUUUAAUUGAUUUAGCAUAACAACGUUGAAUCCUGUAUUAAAUGUUGCCAAGAAUCAAUAAGAACAUCUCAAUUUUAACAUUUAGAUAUCAAAAUCCCCAUAGGUUCUAUUUUUGUUAAUUUCAAGAUCGAUUAAGCGAUCUUUUUUACAAAUAUUACCGAUUCCUUCCUAAAAUCUUGAUUUUUCCUUGAAGAUCGUUAUUAAUCCUUGCGUAUUUUUCGGUUGAAAGACUCGUUAUAAGUAUCCUAGAUCAAACUUGGACGUGAAGAUUAUCGUUUGAAACCCUAAAAGUCAAGUGUGUAUUUUUUCACAAGAAAGUCGAGACAAAAUCGAGCUUAGGAUAUGCCAUAUGGCUAGCCACACGGGUGUGUGGGUCGCCCGUAUGGACCACACGACCACCAUACGUGACCAUGUCCUCCUUGAAACCCUAAAUUUUCACUUCUCACACGACCUAGGACACCCCAUACAGCCUGCCACAUGAUCGUGUAACCUCUAUGGUUGUAGUUUCAAUUGCCACACGACCAUAGUCUCACACAUGGCCUAGCCACAUGACCAUGUACCCCCUUCACACGAUCUAGGGGUUCCCACACGGUCCAGUCACACGGCCAUGUGUUUCCUAUAACUCAGAAUUUACAGUUUUGACCUAAAAUUUUAUCUUUUGAUUAGAUUAGUCAUUGAAUAUAUUAUGAAUUACUUUUAGUGAAUUAAGUUAUGCAAUUAGGUCCUUGAUGAUAAGAAAAAAGGUAGAGUUCAGGAUUGACUGAUUUAUUGUAAUAUUUAUUUAUAUUUAUGAAUAUUUGAAUGAGACAUGAAUAAGUUAUGUUGCUAUUGAAUCUAUACUUGCGAAUGUAUGUACAACAUGCACUAUAAUAUUGUUAACCCGAAUACCUGAUAAAAUCAUGACUAUGUUACUAAUAUUCCAUGUGUUAGCAUAUUAGAUACUAUCAUAUUUUGUUUGUAUUCAAUAUUUCAUAAUGUAUUGCAUGGGUUGGAACAAUAUGUAUAGAGGAAAAUCAGACAAUCUAUCUGCAAGAAAAAUAGCGGUGCAAGUCACAACCAUGCGACAGUUCUUAUCUACAAAUUACUGUGUAUCAAAAGUAAAAUGCUGAUUUUGAAGACGAGUUUAUGCUGUAAAAUCUACAGCCAAAAAAUAGGUCCCAUCUGCAGGACUUUUGCUGUGAACCCACAACCAAAGACGGAUUCUAACUACGGGGACUUGUUGUAUGCCCACAACUUAAUGGCAGUUAUUAUUUGUGAACCAGUAGUUGUUUAUCCACAUAUCGAUGUGUUGAAGAAGGGAGUUCUAAGGAACUCUUAUUAUGGUGUGUGGCGACGGGGUAGGAUUUAUUCUAUUUAAACUCGGAACUGUAUGGCAUCAUUUAAUUCAUGUGCAUACAAAUCUAAAAAUUAUGUUAUAAUACAUAGGCGUAAAUAUAUAUAUGUGUAUGAAUAUGAUUAUUAUGGGAAAAUAUGGGAAUUUUGGUUAAUUUUAAAAAUUAUUAUUGUGAGUUCUGACAUAUUAAUGAUGUCAUGAGGUUACUUUUGUUCAAACGUACUAAUAAUUGGUCGACUAAUAGCAAGGUUACUUACAUUUCCUUAAGCUCCCCCAAACUUAACCUCCUAUAAAUAGACAAUGGCAUGGGGUUGAUACUGGCAUCGAGGUCACAUAGGGUUUUCCUGAAACUCACUCCACCUAUUUCAAUGGGAAUGGUAAAGCUACCGGGAUCCUUUAGUUUGGGCGAAACUCUUCUAGACACCGUCGUACUUUAUUUUUUGUUAAGUGUAAUUUACUCUUUUCUCCCUAUUUUCCUUCGAUGAAACAUAACUUCUCUAAGGAACUUGACAUUUUUAGGCAUUUUCUCAAGGAUUUCAAAUAAGAGGAAGUUCAUGUUCAAGGCUUUAAACAUCUUGAGGAAGUCUGUGAACUCCUCAUCAUCCUUCUUCUUUCUCUCCUCUAAGCGGCUCGAAAAGGGUAUGGGCCUUGGGGUAGGUGGUGGUGGUGGA